rnacentral:rRNA from 1 species
GACGAACCGUCCAAACGUUAUUCGGAAUCACUGGGCUUACAGAGUUCGUAGGCGGUGCGGUAAGUUGGGUGUGAAAUCCCUUGGCUCAACCAAGGAACUGCGCUCAAUACUGCCGUGCUAGAGGGAGAUAGAGGAAAGCGGAACUGAUGGUGGAGCGGUGAAAUGCGUUGAUAUCAUCAGGAACACCGGUGGCGAAGGCGGCUUUCUGGGUCUUGCCUGACGCUGAGGAACGAAAGCGUGGGGAGCAAACAGG